rnacentral:rRNA from 1 species
CAGUAGCCGCGGGAAUACGAAGGGGGCUAGCGUUGCUCGGAAUCACUGGGCGUAAAGGGUGCGUAGGCGGGUCUUUAAGUCAGGGGUGAAAUCCUGGAGCUCAACUCCAGAACUGCCUUUGAUACUGAAGAUCUUGAGUUCGGGAGAGGUGAGUGGAACUGCGAGUGUAGAGGUGAAAUUCCUAGAUAUUCGCAAGAACACCAGUGGCGAAGGCGGCUCACUGGCCCGAUACUGACGCUGAGGCACGAAAGCGUGGGGAGCAAACAGGAUUAGAUACCCGCGUAGUCCCUGUCUCUUAUAC